rnacentral:rRNA from 2 species
AUCCUGGCUCAGGACGAACGCUGGCGGCGUGCCUAAUACAUGCAAGUCGAGCGGAUCGAUGGGAGCUUGCUCCCUGAGAUCAGCGGCGGACGGGUGAGUAACACGUGGGUAACCUGCCUGUAAGACUGGGAUAACUCCGGGAAACCGGGGCUAAUACCGGAUAACACCUACCCCCGCAUGGGGGAAGGUUGAAAGGUGGCUUCGGCUAUCACUUACAGAUGGACCCGCGGCGCAUUAGCUAGUUGGUGAGGUAAUGGCUCACCAAGGCGACGAUGCGUAGCCGACCUGAGAGGGUGAUCGGCCACACUGGGACUGAGACACGGCCCAGACUCCUACGGGAGGCAGCAGUAGGGAAUCUUCCGCAAUGGACGAAAGUCUGACGGAGCAACGCCGCGUGAGUGAAGAAGGUUUUCGGAUCGUAAAACUCUGUUGUUAGGGAAGAACAAGUGCCGUUCGAAUAGGGCGGCGCCUUGACGGUA